UACGACUACAUAUCAGGCAUAUCAAUAAGCGGAGGAAAAGAAACUAACUAAGGAUUCCCUCAGUAACGGCGAGUGAAGCGGGAAGAGCUCAAAUUUGAAAUCUUCAAGGUUCUACCUUGACGAAUUGUAGUUUAAAGAAGUGUUUUCUGUUGAAGUUUUGGUAAAAGUUCUUUGGAAUAGGACAUCAUAGAGGGUGAGAAUCCCGUAUUUGACCAUUAUUUUCAGCUGUGUGAUACACUUUCAAAGAGUCGGAUUGUUUGGGAAUGCAGUCCAAAAUGGGUGGUAAAUUUCAUCUAAAGCUAAAUAUUGGCGAGAGACCGAUAGCGAACAAGUACCGUGAGGGAAAGAUGAAAAGAACUUUGAAAAGAGAGUUAAACAGUACGUGAAAUUGUCAAAAGGGAAGCGUUUGACACCAGUGUUGUUUUCUCGAAAAUCAAUUAAAAAAAGUUGGAUUUUGUGUUGUAUUGACCUUAACAGCUUGCUUCCCUCUUUUCCAGCCUUUUUUAAUGCACUUUUCGUUUAACAAGUCAACAUCAGUUUCUUUUGUUGUAAAAGGGUCAUUGGAAGGUGGCUUUCUCUUCGGAGAAAGUGUUUAUAGCCUUUGAUCUCUGCAAUCGGAGAGACUGAGGUCUGCAGCGUAGAUCCUUCGGGGUUAGAUACAUUUGUGCUAAGCUACAGCUUUUCAUAGACAACUUGUUGACUAUGUUUAGUCUUGUGACUUACCCGCUUAUGCUAUUUUACCUACGCUUAGGAUGUUGAGCGCAUGUCUCUCUCU
rnacentral:rRNA from 1 species